rnacentral:rRNA from 1 species
GGUAGUCCAUGCCGUAAACGUUGGGCACUAGGUGUGGGGGACAUUCCACGUUUUCCGCGCCGUAGCUAACGCAUUAAGUGCCCCGCCUGGGGAGUACGGCCGCAAGGCUAAAACUCAAAGGAAUUGACGGGGGCCCGCACAAGCGGCGGAGCAUGCGGAUUAAUUCGAUGCAACGCGAAGAACCUUACCAAGGCUUGACAUGUGCCAGACCGCUCCAGAGAUGGGGUUUCCCUUCGGGGCUGGUUCACAGGUGGUGCAUGGUUGUCGUCAGCUCGUGUCGUGAGAUGUUGGGUUAAGUCCCGCAACGAGCGCAACCCUCGUUCCAUGUUGCCAGCACGUAGUGGUGGGGACUCAUGGGAGACUGCCGGGGUCAACUCGGAGGAAGGUGGGGAUGACGUCAAAUCAUCAUGCCCCUUAUGUCUUGGGCUUCACGCAUGCUACAGUGGCCGGUACAAUGGGUUGUGAUACUGUGAGGUGGAGCUAAUCCCUAAAAGCCGGUCUCAGUUCGGAUUGGGGUCUGCAACUCGACCCCAUGAAGUCGGAGUCGCUAGUAAUCGCAGAUCAGCAACGCUGCGGUGAAUACGUUCCCGGGCCUUGUACACACCGCCCGUCAAGUCACGAAAGUUGGUAACACCCGAAGCCGAUGGCCUAACCACCUUGUGUGGGGGGAGUCGUCGAAGGUGGGACUGGCGAUUGGGACUAAGUCGUAACAAGGUAGCCGUACCGGAAGGUGC